UGUUGUUCUCGCACGCGCGCGCGCACGUACGCAUGUAACCGCCAAUUGCAAUAUUUGAAAAAAGAACCCGAUCAACCACUGUUUUGCUGUUCAGAAGUCCGUCUAUAAUUCAUCAUAAACUAAAGGAACACAGGUCAGAUUCGGACAACGACUUCAAAUUCAUUCGCAGAAUACGCUAAACAAUUGGACGACGGAUACACUGGAUGAUAAUGUAGAUGGUCCAGGAUUAUCUGAGAAGGAAACUACAGGUGUUGAACACAGAAAACCGUUUACAAGAAAACAACUGGAGUUUAUGAAAGCUGCAAGAAAUUAAUCUUGCCGGGUACGCAUUCACUUCACCUUGGUCGAGUGCAGCACAGUGGAUAAAUGUGUUGCUGAAGGAAAACACCAUUGCUAGGAUUCAAACCCACGACACUCUGUUGAAAGGUGAGAGUCAGAACCACUAGACCACGACGCACCCACAGUUAACAAGCUGAUGUCAUACCCCCACUUGUUCUUUUGUAUUUUAUAACAAGAAGUCAUGUUUAUUCACAUUUUGACCUCCAAGAACUAAAAAGUGGAGUGAAGAUUUAUUUAAUGUAAACACAUGCAUUGCUUGAAAUCAUUUUAUGCUACGUGGGACAUAUCAUACACACGUGUACGAAAAUAUGAAAUUAUUAUGAUUUCAUUUUAUAACAUAAGCCUAACACAUAUUCCUGACGAUCAUGUGCACAUUCCAGUAAAUUUUCCCAAAAUGUUGCUAAACCUUCAAAUCAAAGACUUUGUUAUCAGAUUUUUACGAAAUUGUCAACAUUAUGCUUUUCUGAUUAAUUCUCUUCCUACCUAAAUCUCCCCUUUCCUCAUGCUUUCUUUUUAUGGUCCCCUUCAUUCUCCUUAUAACUAUGUUAUAUGUAAAAUGUAACCGGUCGUCCAACCCAUUUGAUUGAAGGGCUAGGUACUCUAGACUGAAAGUUAUGUGAUUUUAAUUCAAAGAGUACAUGAGACAAAAAAAAAAUGAAAAUUUCAUCAAAAUUGAAUGAGGAUUAACGAAAUUAUGAUGAAUUAAAGUUGUUAUUUUUUGGUAAAACUGUUCUCUGCAAGUCCUCAUGAAUAUACAAGAUCCCAAUUUAUAUAUUUUUUUGUAUUAUAUGAAUUCAAAUUUUGUCCAAGCUAGGUUGUAAAAAAUUACGAUUGACUACUGAUAUACUGUGUAAGACAAAAAUUAUAUUAUUUCUCACACAUAGUUGAGUUAUUCAUCUGAUUCAACACAACAAAAAUAGACAAAAAAGAAAUAAGUGGGAAUCUUGUAUAUUUGAACUAUGGGAAAU